GUAUCCUGCAGCGGUGUUUAUAUGUGCAUGCAAGCAGUUGCCCCUUCACACUGACACGGAGACACACAGCAGCAUGGCGAGCCGGGAAAGAGCACAGAGUUUACUUCACUCAUCAACAAAAACUAAAUUGUCAUGCAUUGGAUUCCUGCGGGUUUUAUUUAUUACUUUUAUACACACGGCGCAGGCGAACAAACAAGCAUUCAUACAGUCGGACACAAUCCUCGAGGCGCUACACUUUGGAGAAGGAAGUCUCUUACAGACAGAGUCUGACUUUGAUCUAAGUUUAUAUAAUCAAAAAUGGUAAGUUGUCUAUUUUUUUGGUUUCUUCAAAUCAAAUGUCAUGCCCCCCGCCCCCCCAAAUAAUUAUCCAGUUAGAACAGACAGAUCCCUUCAUGUGUUUCACAGUAGAAAGGCCAUGCAAUGUUUGUUGUGGGAUGCCAUUAGAUAAACUACCUGGUUUAUUACCGUGCUUGUUACUGGACUUGUGAAUCUGCAAUUAGAUAAAUUACCUGA